rnacentral:rRNA from 1 species
UGCUGGAGGUAUCAGAAGUGCGAAUGCUGACAUAAGUAACGAUAAAGCGGGUGAAAAGCCCGCUCGCCGGAAGACCAAGGGUUCCUGUCCAACGUUAAUCGGGGCAGGGUGAGUCGACCCCUAAGGCGAGGCCGAAAGGCGUAGUCGAUGGGAAACGGGUUAAUAUUCCCGUACUUGGUGUUACUGCGAAGGGGGGACGGAGAAGGCUAUGUUGGCCGGGCGACGGUUGUCCCGGUUUAAGCGUGUAGGUGUGUGUUCCAGGUAAAUCCGGUUCACUUUAACACUGAGGCGUGANNNNNNNNNNNNNNNNNNNNNNNNNGGAGCUGAAGUCAGUCGAAGAUACCAGCUGGCUGCAACUGUUUAUUAAAAACACAGCACUGUGCAAACACGAAAGUGGACGUAUACGGUGUGACGCCUGCCCGGUGCCGGAAGGUUAAUUGAUGGGGUCAGCGCAAGCGAAGCUCCUGAUCGAAGCCCCGGUAAACGGCGGCCGUAACUAUAACGGUCCUAAGGUAGCGAAAUUCCUUGUCGGGUAAGUUCCGACCUGCACGAAUGGCGUAAUGAUGGCCAGGCUGUCUCCACCCGAGACUCAGUGAAAUUGAACUCGCUGUGAAGAUGCAGUGUACCCGCGGCAAGACGGAAAGACCCCGUGAACCUUUACUAUAGCUUGACACUGAACAUUGAGCCUUGAUGUGUAGGAUAGGUGGGAGGCUUUGAAGUGUGGACGCCAGUCUGCAUGGAGCCGACCUUGAAAUACCACCCUUUAAUGUUUGAUGUUCUAACGUGGACCCGUUACCCGGGUUGCGGACAGUGUCUGGUGGGUAGUUUGACUGGGGCGGUCUCCUCCUAAAGAGUAACGGAGGAGCACGAAGGUUGGCUAAUCCUGGUCGGACAUCAGGAGGUUAGUGCAAUGGCAUAAGCCAGCUUGACUGCGAGCGUGACGGCGCGAGCAGGUGCGAAAGCAGGUCAUAGUGAUCCGGUGGUUCUGAAUGGAAGGGCCAUCGCUCAACGGAUAAAAGGUACUCCGGGGAUAACAGGCUGAUACCGCCCAAGAGUUCAUAUCGACGGCGGUGUUUGGCACCUCGAUGUCGGCUCAUCACAUCCUGGGGCUGAAGUAGGUCCCAAGGGUAUGGCUGUUCGCCAUUUAAAGUGGUACGCGAGCUGGGUUUAGAACGUCGUGAGACAGUUCGGUCCCUAUCUGCCGUGGGCGCUGGAGAACUGAGGGGGGCUGCUCCUAGUACGAGAGGACCGGAGUGGACGCAUCACUGGUGUUCGGGUUGUCAUGCCAAUGGCACUGCCCGGUAGCUAAAUGCGGAAGAGAUAAGUGCUGAAAGCAUCUAAGCACGAAACUUGCCCCGAGAUGAGUUCUCCCUGAGACUUAGAGUCUCCUGAAGGAACGUUGAAGACGACGACGUUGAUAGGCCGGGUGUGUAAGCGCAGCGAUGCGUUGAGCUAACCGGUACUAAUGAACCGUGAGGCUUAACCUUACAACGCCGAAG